rnacentral:rRNA from 1 species
CCUACGGGCGGCAGCAGUGAGGAAUAUUGGUCAAUGGGCGGGAGCCUGAACCAGCCAAGCCGCGUGAGGGAAGAAGGUACAGCGUAUCGUAAACCUCUUUUGUCAGGGAACAAAGGCGGGGACUAGUCCCCGGAUGAGGGUACCUGAAGAAAAAGCAUCGGCUAACUCCGUGCCAGCAGCCGCGGUAAUACGGAGGAUGCGGGCGUUAUCCGGAUUUAUUGGGUUUAAAGGUGGCGCAGGCGGCCUGUUAAGUCAGCGGUAAAGGCCCGGGGAUAAACCCCGGCGAGCCGUUGAAACUGGCGGGCUGGAGUUGGAGAGAAGUACGCGGAAUGCGCGGUGUAGCGGUGAAAUGCUUAGAUAUCGCGCAGAACCCCGAUUGCGAAGGCAGCGUACCGGCUCCACACUGACGCUGAGGCACGAAAGCGUGGGGAGCGAACAGGAUUAGAUACCCUUGUAGUC